AUCUGCUUCGGUCCCCUCUCUCCCUUCUCUGUUCCAAGUAAAAAAGAGGGGGGAAUACAAUGCAGUUUGCGAGUUUUGGCCUCUUAAUAAUAGCUCUGUAACAGUGGUAGAAGUAAUCCUGUUAGACAGUGGAUGCUGUCGAAAGCUGUGGCUGCCACAUUGAAAUUCUUGGAGUAGUUUGCAGUUGCUCAACUCAUGUAGAAAUUAAACAGAAAGACAACAUGGCUUGAUGAAAAAACUGAAAUGCAUUUGGCUUAGAAUCUGAAGGAAACCUCUUUCUAUGCUUGUGCGUAUCUGGCUGCAAAGUACAAACAUGACGGGCUGACGGCUAGUUUAGAAUUCUGCUAUUAAAAUGUGCAGAGCUUAAUCACUUGCAAGGUGCCCUUCCCUUUAUUAACAUUGGAGCUAGUUAUAUUUUGUUAAAAAAAAAUUUGGGUUAGUCUUAUAUGAUUUCAAUGCCUUGUAUUUGGAUGCUGUGAAUCAGGGUUUUGUGCUAUCAUAUUACUUUCUACUGCUCGUGAAACAAUGACUGAAUUACUUAGGAGAAAAUAUGCUGUUGUGAAUGGG